rnacentral:lncRNA from 13 species
CAAAGCAGCAUGAAAUCCCUGGGAACUUCUUGUGCCCUUUCAACAAAUCAGCUCGAUGAAGGGAGAUGACUCAGUCUCCUCUGCCCCUGAAAGCCAGAGCCAACUCUGGCUACCAGCACUCUUGGCUUCACAAAAGAACAAUUUACCCUGGUUCCCUCCCAGACUCCAGUCAGUCUCCCUGAAACUUCAAGUGGCAUCAAAGAGGGUCUUCAGCAAAAAGAGAGAACAGCUGGUCUCAAUCUUUUCUCUGACAGUUUUUCACAUGCUGGGGGACUUAAAAGGAUUUGUCCUACUUCAUUAGCAAAGUGCCUCAGGAAAAGUACACAGGAUAACUGAGAAAAUUUCUACUGAGCAUGAUUGAAGAAAACUCACCAAAAAAAGAGAACCUCAGGGAAUUAGAUCACAGCCAGCCUCUUGAGGCUGAAUCAAUCAUUCAUAUGUUAUUUGAAAUCUACCGAACAAAUAAGAGAAGGAAAAAGGAAAGACACCAAAGUAAGUGCUUGCUC